UACGUAGGGACCAAGCGUUGUCCGGAAUCAUUGGGCGUAAAGAGCGUGUAGGCGGCUUGUUAAGUCUUGCGUGAAAUCUCGGGGCUCAACCCCGAGCGGUCGUGAGAAACUGGCAGGCUAGAGUGCGGGAGAGGAGAGUGGAAUUCCUGGUGUAGCGGUGAAAUGCGCAGAUAUCAGGAGGAACACCAAUGGCGAAGGCAGCACUCUGGGACGUGACUGACGCUGAGACGCGAAAGCGUGGGGAGCGAACAGG
rnacentral:rRNA from 1 species